UUGCCCUAAGUCCCUAACCCUAAUCCCUUAUUCAGUUCAGAUAUGCUGCUCCAUUUCUCGCUUCUCCACUCCACACUAUCACAAUUCUCCACUUUCCUCUGUGUCUCGCCGCCUACAGGCUCCGGCCUCCAACCUCGUUGACAAUCCGGCCAAGCGGUUACGCCCUCACACCCUCUGGACUUACCCUCGCUUCUUAGUCCUCUUGGUUUCUGCUUCUCCGUACUCCGACGCCAAUGCCGUCGCUCCUCCCCCUGUCUCCCUCGUAAUCUCUGGCCCUCAGCCAGUCAGGGACCUCAUAAGUUCUGACCAAACGGACUCUUAUUGCUCUCGUAUGUAGAGGGCAAACCUGAGAAGCAAGGAUGUAUUCGGGGGGGCAUUUUCUAACAAAAAUCUCUUCGUUUAUGUUUAAAGAUUUAAAGAAGCAUGCAUGAGUAUGUGCAGCAGCAAACUGUAUGAACUUUGCACUAUUUAUAGGAGUGUUUUGAUUCUAUAAAUACAUGCACCAACAUUUAUAACUCCGUACUUAUUAAUAUGUAUUGGAUAUUGAACAGGCUAGGAGGUGUAAUUUAAUGCGUCCUCAACUCUGGGUAUUCUGCAGUUUAUUUUUAUCAGGGUAUUAUAAUUUGAAAUCUGAUAUAAUAUAGUGUACCAACAUGUCGUUUUAAUGAUUUAUAAUUGAGAGUUUUAUUUUGAAAA